ensembl:snoRNA
GACCUCCUGGGAUGGCGUCUGGAGAGCCCAUAGUGUUCUGCUGGCUUCGGUUGAAAACAGGAGGAAAAGAAAGCCCAGCAGAGGUGCCCAUUCCAUUCCCAGCUGGUUCUGUAGCGGGUCAUUGGAAGACACUCUGCGACAAGU